rnacentral:rRNA from 1 species
CCUACGGGAGGCAGCAGUAGGGAAUUUUCGGCAAUGGGGGGAACCCUGACCGAGCAACGCCGCGUGAACGAAGAAGUUCUUCGUAAUGUAAAGUUCUUUUAACAGGGAAGAAAGAGAAAUUUGAUGUUACCUUAAGAAUAAGCUCCGGCUAACUCCGUGCCAGCAGCCGCGGUAAUACGUAGGGAGCGCGCGUUAUCCGGGAUUAUUCUGCGUAAGGGUUGCGUAGAUGGCAUAUUAAGUCUUUUGUAAAAAUGCUGGGCUAAACCCAGUAGGGCAAAAGAUACUGCAAAGCUAGAGUAUGACAGAGGCAAGUGGAAUUACAUGUGUAGCGGUAAAAUGCGUAAAUAUAUGUAAGAACACCAGUGGCGAAGGCGGCUUGCUGGGUCGAUACUGACAUUGAGGCACGAAAGCGUGGGGAGCAAACAGGAUUAGAUACCCGUGUAGUC